rnacentral:pre_miRNA from 1 species
CGUGCACUGGUGAGGUCCCUUGGCCUGGCCUGUGACCUCUCACAAUCUGGGAGCCCUCAGGGGAUGUUGGAGAGCCAGUUUCAGCCUGAUCCCACAGGCCAGGCUAAGGGACCCCACCAGUGCACA